AGGACGAACGCUGGCGGCGUGCUUAACACAUGCAAGUGGAGCGACGAACCAGGGCUUGCCCUGGGGCAGAGCCGCGAACGGGUGAGUAACACGUGGGUUACCUGCCUCGAUGACCGGGACAACCCGAGGAAACUCGGGCUAAUACCGGAUGUGCCCGCAAGGGGAAAGGAAGCUUCGGCCUCCGCAUCGAGAUGGGCCCGCGGCCCAUUAGCUUGUUGGUGAGGUAACGGCUUACCAAGGCUCCGAUGGGUAGCUGGUCUGAGAGGACGAUCAGCCACACUGGGACUGAGACACGGCCCAGACUCCUACGGGAGGCAGCAGUGGGGAAUCUUGCGCAAUGCGCGAAAGCGUGACGCAGCAACGCCGCGUGGGGGAAGACGGCUUUCGGGUUGUAAACCCCUUUCAGUUGGGACGAAGCUCCGUCGGUGAAUAGCCGGCUGGAGUGACGGUACCUUCACAAGAAGCACCGGCUAACUACGUGCCAGCAGCCGCGGU
rnacentral:rRNA from 1 species